GACAGAGGGUGCAAACGUUGUUCGGAAUUACUGGGCGUAAAGCGUGUGUAGGCGGCUUCGUAAGUCGGAUGUGAAAUUCCCGGGCUCAACCUGGGGGCUGCGUUUGAUACGUGCGGGCUUGAGUUCGGAAGAGGGUCGUGGAAUUCCCAGUGUAGGGGUGAAAUUCGUAGAUAUUGGGAAGAACACCGGUGGCGAAGACGGCGACCUGGUCCGAUACUGACGCUGAGGCGCGAAAGCGUGGGGAGCAAACAGG
rnacentral:rRNA from 1 species